ensembl:snRNA U6 U6 spliceosomal RNA
GUGCUUACUUCAGCAGUACAUAUACUAAAAUUGGAAUCAUACAGAGAAGAUUAACAUGGCCCCUACAUAAGGAUGACAUAAAAAUUUGUGAAGCAUUCCAUAUUAAA